rnacentral:lncRNA from 1 species
UGUAACCUUUGGGUAUUUCAAUGUCCUUGGCUAAACCACAGCGUCUGAAAGCAGAUCCGUGGCUAUUGUAUCAUGGUUAGGUUCUGUGUAAUACUUCACUGUAACCAGCAUUAAUUGCUCUAUUAAUCCAGUGCACAAGCCAUGUGGGUCGCCAUUUACUGCUCUUUUACGCGUCUUCCCAACCGACUGCUUACAAGCCUGUAAACAAACCGGUGGCCGAAUUUGCUCAGAAUAUUGCCGUUUGGGAUGGCCAGAGCUGGAAGGAGCCUGUUCUAUUGCUUCUUUUGCAGCUGAUGACACCCCAGGUUUCCUCGUCUGGAUGACUCACCCACAGUGACAGAGCGGGAAGGCAGCGUCCCGCCAGCACCCCGAGUGGCAGAACCUGGCACUGACAGGCCGGCAGAGCAGAAAUGGGGGACCAGAGCCCCAGCUCCAGCAGCAGCAACUGCAGUCUUCAAGGCCGAGUUCCCAACAAGAGGCAACAGUUUAGUAACUAGGACGG